rnacentral:rRNA from 1 species
GGUGGUGACUAUAGCGAAAGGGCAACACCCGUUCCCAUCCCGAACACGGUAGUUAAGCCUUUCAGCUCCGACGAUACUCUGCGGGCAACUGCACGGGAAAAUAGGACGUUGCCUCUC